GGGGGGGGGGGGGGGGGGGGUGGGGGGGGGGGGGGCGGGCGGGGGGGGGCGGGGGUGGGGGGGGGCUCGGGUGGCGGAGGGGUGGGUGACAGGUGGGUAACCUGCCGUUGACGUUGGGAUCACUUCAGGAAACUGGGGCUCAUACCGGAUAGGAGCUCCGGCGGCAUGGUGGGGGUUGGAAAGUUGCGGCGGGUGGGGAUGGACUCGCGGCUUAUCAGCUGGUUGGUGGGGUAGUGGCUUACCAAGGCUUCGACGGGUAGCCGGCCUGAGAGGGUGACCGGCCACAUUGGGACUGAGAUACGGCCCAGACUCCUACGGGAGGCAGCAGUGGGGAAUAUUGCACAAUGGGCGGAAGCCUGAUGCAGCAACGCCGCGUGCGGGAUGACGGCCUUCGGGUUGUAAACCGCUUUCGCCUGUGACGAAGCGUGAGUGACGGUAAUGGGUAAAGAAGCACCGGCUAACUACGUG
rnacentral:rRNA from 1 species